GGGCUUGUAGCUCAGAUGGUAGAGCGCUCCGUUUGCAUUUGGGUGAGGCAUGUGGAUCGAUACCCCACUGGUCCA